GAGCUCACUUUGGCAGCACUUAUACUAAAACUAGAACGGUACAGAGAUUAGCGUGGCCCCUGAGCAAGGAUGACAUGAAAAUUCAUGAAUGUUUCCAUAUGUUU